UGGGUAGGUUCACAACCAAUUGUUUCUCCAAACAAUUUUUAGUAAUCAAAUUUUACCCUAGGCAUCCUUUCAGCAGGCGUGUGGCACUUCCACUGAAAAUUUUGGUUAGAUUCAACCAUUAAUAUGAUAAUAUCAAGUGUAUCCAACAAAAUAGAUAUCCAGGCCCAAGUAUAGCUCGGCCAACUUGAGCAUUAGUCUGA
rnacentral:lncRNA from 1 species